rnacentral:rRNA from 1 species
AGAUGGCGACCGGCGCACGGGUGAGUAACACGUAUCCAACCUACCGAUAACUCGGGGAUAGCCUUUCGAAAGAAAGAUUAAUACCCGAUGGUAUAAUCAGACCGCAUGGUCUUGUUAUUAAAGAAUUUCGGUUAUCGAUGGGGAUGCGUUCCAUUAGGCAGUUGGUGAGGUAACGGCUCACCAAACCUUCGAUGGAUAGGGGUUCUGAGAGGAAGGUCCCCCACAUUGGAACUGAGACACGGUCCAA